CCUACGGGCGGCAGCAGUGAGGAAUAUUGGUCAAUGGGCGCAAGCCUGAACCAGCCAAGUCGCGUGAGGGAAGACGGCCCUACGGGUUGUAAACCUCUUUUGCCGGGGAGCAAGCCUGAGCACGUGUGCACAGGCGGAGAGUACCCGGAGAAAAAGCAUCGGCUAACUCCGUGCCAGCAGCCGCGGUAAUACGGAGGAUGCGAGCGUUAUCCGGAUUUAUUGGGUUUAAAGGGUGCGUGGGCGGCCUUUUAAGUCAGCGGUGAAAGUCUGUGGCUCAACCAUAGAAUUGCCGUUGAAACUGGGAGGCUUGAGUAUGUUUGAGGCAGGCGGAAUGCGUGGUGUAGCGGUGAAAUGCUUAGAUAUCACGCAGAACCCCGAUUGCGAAGGCAGCCUGCCAAGCCAUGACUGACGCUGAUGCACGAAAGCGUGGGGAUCAAACAGGAUUAGAUACCCCAGUAGUC
rnacentral:rRNA from 1 species